rnacentral:rRNA from 1 species
AACGAACGCUGGCGGCAUGCCUAACACAUGCAAGUCGAACGAGACCUUCGGGUCUAGUGGCGCACGGGUGCGUAACGCGUGGGAACCUGCCCUUAGGUUCGGAAUAACUCCCCGAAAGGGGUGCUAAUACCGGAUAAUGUCUUCGGACCAAAGAUUUAUCGCCUUUGGAUGGGCCCGCGUUGGAUUAGCUAGUUGGUAGGGUAAAAGCCUACCAAGGCGACGAUCCAUAGCUGGUCUGAGAGGAUGAUCAGCCACACUGGGACUGAGACACGGCCCAGACUCCUACGGGAGGCAGCAGUGGGGAAUAUUGGACAAUGGGCGAAAGCCUGAUCAAGCAAUGCCGCGUGAGUGAUGAAGGCCUUAGGGUUGUAAAGCUCUUUUACCCGGGAUGAUAAUGACAGUACCGGGAGAAUAAGCGCCGGCUAACUCCGUG